rnacentral:ncRNA from 1 species
GCAGAGUAGGAACGCACGUGUGACCGCAGUGCCGGAAAAACGGGGAGUUGUUUUCCGGACGAAAGGGCGCAGGCCCGCAGUGUGCGUUCCGCAUCCCGCUGC